GAUGAACGCUGGCGGCGUGCCUAAUACAUGCAAGUCGAGCGAACAGAUGAGGAGCUUGCUCCUCUGACGUUAGCGGCGGACGGGUGAGUAACACGUGGAUAACCUACCUAUAAGACUGGCAUAACUUCGGGAAACCGGAGCUAAUACCGGAUAAUAUAUUGAACCGCAUGGUUCAAUAGUGAAAGACGGUUUUGCUGUCACUUAUAGAUGGAUCCGCGCCGCAUUAGCUAGUUGGUAAGGUAACGGCUUACCAAGGCAACGAUGCGUAGCCGACCUGAGAGGGUGAUCGGCCACACUGGAACUGAGACACGGUCCAGACUCCUACGGGAGGCAGCAGUAGGGAAUCUUCCGCAAUGGGCGAAAGCCUGACGGAGCAACGCCGCGUGAGUGAUGAAGGUCUUCGGAUCGUAAAACUCUGUUAUUAGGGAAGAACAAAUGUGUAAGUAACUAUGCACGUCUUGACGGUACCUAAUCAGAAAGCCACGGCUAACUACGUG
rnacentral:rRNA from 1 species